rnacentral:rRNA from 1 species
GUGUCAGCCGCCGCGGUAAUACGUAGGGGGCAAGCGUUGUCCGGAUUUAUUGGGCGUAAAGAGCGUGUAGGCGGCCAUGUAGGUCCGAUGUGAAAACUGGGGGCUCAACCUCCAGCUGUCGUCGGAAACCAUGUGGCUAGAGUCCGGAAGAGGAGAGUGGAAUUCCUGGUGUAGCGGUGAAAUGCGCAGAUAUCAGGAAGAACACCUAUGGCGAAGGCAGCUCUCUGGGACGGUACUGACGCUGAGACGCGAAAGCGUGGGGAGCGAACAGGAUUAGAAACCCCAGUAGUCC